rnacentral:rRNA from 1 species
UGGGGAAUAUUGCACAAUGGAGGAAACUCUGAUGCAGCGACGCCGCGUGAGUGAAGAAGGUCUUCGGAUCGUAAAACUCUGUCCUUGGUGACGAAAAAAAUGACGGUAGCCAAGGAGGAAGCCCCGGCUAACUACGUGCCAGCAGCCGCGGUAAUACGUAGGGGGCGAGCGUUGUCCGGAUUUAUUGGGCGUAAAGGGUGAGUAGGCGGUAAUAUGUGUCAGAUGUAAAAGGCUAUGGCUUAACCAUAGUUAGCAUUUGAAACUGUAUUACUUGAGUGCAGGAGAGGUAAGUGGAAUUCCUAGUGUAGCGGUGAAAUGCGUAGAUAUUAGGAGGAACACCAGUGGCGAAGGCGACUUACUGGACUGUAACUGACGCUGAGUCACGAAAGCGUGGGUAGCAAACA